AGUGAACGCUGGCGGCAGGCCUAAUACAUGCAAGUCGAACGGCAGCACAGUAAGAUCUUGCCAUUACGGGUGGCGAGUGGCGGAUGGGUGAGGAAUACAUCGGAAUCUACUUUUUCGGGGGGGAUAACGUAGGGAAACUUACGCUACUACCGCAUACGUCCUACGGGUGAAAGCAGGGGAUCUUCGGACCUUUCGCGAUUGAAUGAGCCGAUGCCGGAUUAGCUAGUUGGCGGGGUAAAGGCCCACCAAGGCGACGAUACGUAGCUGGUCUGAGAGGAUGAUCAGACACACUGGAACUGAGACACGGUCCAGACUCCUACGGGAGGCAGCAGUGGGGAAUAUUGGGCAAUGGGCGAAAGCCUGAUCCAGCCAUGCCGCGUGGGUGAAGAAGGCCUUCGGGUUGUAAAGCCCUUUUGUUGGGAAAGAAAAGCAGCAGAUUAAAACCCCGCUGUUCUGACGGUACCCAAAGAAAAAGCACCGGCUAACUUCGUG
rnacentral:rRNA from 1 species